AUUGGUGCCUUCGGGAACUCUGAGACAGGUGCUGCAUGGCUGUCGUCAGCUCGUGUUGUGAAAUGUUGGGUUAAGUCCCGCAACGAGCGCAACCCUUAUCCUUUGUUGCCAGCGGUUAGGCCGGGAACUCAAAGGAGACUGCCAGUGAUAAACUGGAGGAAGGUGGGGAUGACGUCAAGUCAUCAUGGCCCUUACGAGUAGGGCUACACACGUGCUACAAUGGCGCAUACAAAGAGAAGCGACCUCGCGAGAGCAAGCGGACCUCAUAAAGUGCGUCGUAGUCCGGAUUGGAGUCUGCAACUCGACUCCAUGAAGUCGGAAUCGCUAGUAAUCGUGGAUCAGAAUGCCACGGUGAAUACGUUCCCGGGCCUUGUACACACCGCCCGUCACACCAUGGGAGUGGGUUGCAAAAGAAGUAGGUAGCUUAACCUUCGGGAGGGCGCUUACCACUUUGUGAUUCAUGACUGGGGUGAAGUCGUAACAAGGUAAGCGUAGUGCU
rnacentral:rRNA from 1 species